UAAUACGGAGGGUGCGAGCGUUAUCCGGAAUUACUGGGUUUAAAGGGUGCGUAGGCGGCUUUGUAAGUCAGGAGUGAAAGUUUGCGGCUCAACCGUAAAAUUGCUUCUGAUACUGCAUAGCUAGAAUUAGGAUGAGGUCAGCGGAAUGUGGCAUGUAGCGGUGAAAUGCAUAGAUAUGCCAUAGAACACCAAUUGCGAAGGCAGCUGGCUAGACCUGGAUUGACGCUGAGGCACGAAAGCGUGGGGAGCGAACAGG
rnacentral:rRNA from 1 species